ensembl:lncRNA
UUUAUCACAUUUUCUUGCCAUAUUUUUGCUCCUUUUAAUGUAUUUUUGCAACAUUUCUCCCAUUUUUGACACUUCUACAUCACAUUUUAAUGUCUUUUCUGCACAUUUUUCCUCUUUCUAGACAUGUUCAGCACUUAUAAACCCUUUCCACCACUUUUCCAUCUAAUGUCACAUAAGUUGACCCAUUAUUGUCACCUCUUUUUACCAUAUUUAAUGAUUAUUUUUUGCCAAUUUAUCCACAUUCACAUUUUUUCACGCCCAUUAUUUGCCAGUUUAAAAUAAUUGUUCCAAUAUUGACACUUUGAACCCUUUUACUUUAUUUCUGUGAUGAUCCCAGAGAAGCUGCUAUGAAUGUGUCUGUUAAUUAAUCUUUAACAUCAUCACAGGAGAAACGUCCUGGUGUCAUGUGAGAAGCUGUACUUUAGUCUCUAUUGGAGGAGACGCAACGACUCAAACACUCAAAGCAAAGCAGCUGAAAAGAAGAAGAAGAAAAAGUUUAGGUCAAAGAUGCUAAGCUGCUGGCUAACUAUCGCUGCCCUGCUGAUGCAUUCAGGGGCUGCAGCUGGGGGUCAGCCAACUGUGACCCUAGCUCCUCCCUACAGGGUCAAAGGUCAACCAGGGGUCGAACUGACCCUGAACUGUGGAGACGGAAACAACAGCAGAGGUGUGGUUAAGUUCUGGAACACUCCGUUUGGAGCCGUGCACACGGCGGUGAGCGUGCACGCUGCACACCUGGAGCCGGUCCUCCUGCAGCAGGACGGGAGCCUCCUGCUCCCCAACAUCAGCUCAGCGCACAGCGGUCUGUACUACUGUCUGCUGGAGGAGGGGGGGGCACGCACCCUCAGGCCGACCGUCCUCAACAUCGGUACCAGGACCAGGACCAGGACGUCCAGCGUCCCAGGUGUCCCUCAGAGUCACUAUAUAGCAGCCAUAGCGUCCUCAGUGCUCCUCAGCUUCAUGUUGGGCUUCAGCAGCGGAGCCAUGAGCAGGACUCACGUUCUCAGGUGUUUGAGCGCCGUCGCAAAGAGGAUGCGGUUACCACGACGACGGCGAAGUUACAGCGAUGAGCCGGACCGGGGCGUCGCCAUGGUAACCGUCCCCCCCUCAGAGACGAGCCCGAAUCCGCCCACAAAACCUCAGAGGAGCUUCAGACACCGGUCAACAGACCACGCAGUCGAGGAAAGGCAAACUGCUGCGUACCUGGAGUCAUGUGACCACGUAAAGAAUGAGGAGAGGAAGGACGCAGGAAAAGAGGAAGAGGAAGAGAGAAAGGAGGAAGAGAGCCGAACUGAGGAGGAGGUAGACGAAAACCAGGAAGAAGGCCUAACUGAGGAAGAGGAAGCAGAAGAGGACAGGAAGCAGGAAGAGAGUCAAACUGAGGAAGAGAAAGAGGAGGAAGACAGGAAGCAGGAAGAGAGUCAAACUGAGGAAGAGAAAGAGGAGGAAGACAGGAAGCAGGAAGAGAGUCAAACUGAGGAAGAGAAAGAGGAAGACAGGAAGCAGGAAGAGAGUCAAACUGAUGAAGAAAAAGAGGAGGAAGACAGGAAGCAGGAAGAGAGUCAAACUGAGGAAGAGAAAGAGGAAGACAGGAAGCAGGAAAAGAGCCAAACUGAGGAGGAAGCGGCGAAAAGAAACAGGAAGGAUGAGGAGGAAGGAAACGGAAAGGGAGAGGAAGAGGAGGAAGGAGAAGAGGAAAAGGACACAAACUCUUCCUCAAAAACAGAAACCUCAGAAGAAGAACCUUCGGGGUUUGAGGCCACGCCCACCGGCCGCCGCGUCAUCCGUCUGUAUCAGUACGAUGAGGACGGACGUCGUUACGCUCACCUGCCUGACCCCGCCCCCUCUGACCCCGCCCCCAGGCUCAAACAGCGCUCUCUCUCUCUGACGCGUCUCAACGCCAUCAUGGCCACCGCCUCUUCCUCUCCAUUGGACAGGAAACAGGAAGUAGAGCCAAGGCCGCACUUCCACAUGGAGAUCUGACACUAAACAUUAUUUAUUAUUGUUAGUUGUUUGUAUUCAUUUAAUAACGAAGUCCAUUAAUUCAUGUCAUUAACUAUAAAACCUAUGUCUGUAAUAAAUAUAAUUAGGGUAAUUAAUUAAAAUAUUAA